UCCUGGGUUAUGGAAAUGGGAAGUCAUUUAUCUAAAACAGAAUGGGAUGUUUUUUACAAGCUUGAGAAGAUUUUACAGCAUAAAGGACGUUCAGAUAUCUCAAAAACUGAACUUAAAGAUUUACUCAUUUGGGUGAAAGCGAACACUCAAAAUAUAAAUUUACAGUCUGCUUUUACCUUUGAUUUUUGGGAUCAAAUAAACUGGAACAUCUAUAAUUUGUUCUCUCUCAAAAAAGAUGAGAGUCUAAGUAAACUUAUCCCCUACCUCCAGGGCUUUGCUGGAGUGUUUCAAACAAACUGACAGUAACCAAGACAGUUCUGAACCACAAAACAAAGUAUCUUGCUCAGAUUCUUUAAAUCCAAGUAAAAUUGAGCCCGCGUCCCUCUCGGGGAGAUUUUCGGGUAUCGGUCGGGAUGAUUCUCUCCCUCCUGAUUCAUCCGGUGCUUCUCCCGGAAAUGCUGGCUGCGUCCCGUUCUCCGGAAACUGGGAACCAGAACGGCUUUCAGAUUGGGUCGGAUCUUCUGUUUCCCCCAAGUCUCUCUGUGUCCCUGUGGCAGAAAAUAAUCUCUCUAGCACCCCUCCAGGAAAUUAUUAACUCUUUCCAUGUCGGGAAAAGUGUUUGGAAUUUUCGUUGUGUUCCGGGAACGUAAGAGUCCGUGAAAUUUGUCUGGGGGCGGGUGCAAGCCAUGUGGAGGGGGGCAGAUGUGAAUUUGCAGAGGUUUUGUGAUAAAGGAAUUAUGUGUUCUGAAAUUGUAAAAGCAGUGGCAGCUGAAACUGGUUUAGAGUCUGCUGUGUCUGGUCGGGGGGCUGUGGGAGUCGCUUCUGUCCCUGUUUUCCCUUUCCGGGAAGGCAACCCCUCGGAUUCGGUUCAAGUGGGUAGGGUACUUUGUGAUUCGGGGAGUUCUUUUUUGGUAAAUUGUUCAAAUAAGCCUCUGCCAGGUUUUUCUGUUGUUCGCCAGCCUUUUGGUGUAUAGGAUGAAAUAGCAGUGAGUGAGGCUUGUCCACAGGACAGGACAGGGGGGAGGACAAAUGCGGCAGGCAGCAGCCAAGAAUUGAGCCAGACUAGGGGGACUCUACCCGGGCAGAAGCUUGAGGAAAGAGCAGGAGAUUUUUGAAGGGUUUCUGGGGAGAAACAAGCUGAGAUUUUGAAGAUUUCGGAAUCUAUUUCUUUUGCUGUUGAGAGAAGGGAUAGGGUGUUAAAUUCUCAGUCUGAUGUUGGCUGCUCUCCAGCUGAAUCUUCACAGGCAAAGGGACUUUGUGAAACAUGCCAUUAUUCUUUGGAGAUUCUCAAAAGUACAAACCCAAGGUUGCUUUCCCAGGGGAGUUCAAAUCUUGGCUUUCCUCCAGGGUCCAGAGAACACGCCCUUCACUCAGCCCCUUUUGGCAGGGCUUCGGAGGGGGUGUGUUGUUUGGCUGAGCCCUCCUCUGUCCCUCAUGGCAGGGCUCCAAGGGGGGCGUGUUGUUUGGAUGUCUCUGCCAAGAAUUCAGGUUCUUCUGUCCAUAUCGGCGGAGUUCCCAGGAAACUUUGUUGCUACAGCAACAUCCCUGCCAAGAAUUCGGACACUGGCAGGGUCCUCGGAACAGCUGCUGUCAGUGAAACUGUCAGCUCCAGUUCUGACUUCCCAUUAAGUUUGCCUAAUUGGUCUUACAUUAACCAAAAAUUAGAAAAAGAUUUAGACUCAAAGAAACAACUCCUUGCAUUACCUGUAAGAUAUGGUCGUAAUGAUCGUAACCCACAAUACGAAAGACUUACUCACCAUGACAUAAAGGAAUUACAUCAAGCUUUGAAAGAAAGUGGGUUCUCUUCUCCCUAUUUUAACAAUGUGCUGAAAAGUAUUUUUAAUUCUUAUGAUUUAGUCCCUGCUGACUGUCGAAAUGUGGCUUCUCUUGUUUAAACCAAUUCACAGUACCUACUAUGGGAAUUACAAUGGAAAAAACUUCUUAAUAAGUUGGCUGAAAAAUAUGCAGAUACUGAUUAUGCAGAUUUAGAUGUUGUUCAAUUAGCAGGUGAUGCACCUUACCAUAGAGCAGAGAAUCAAGCAGUAGACUUGCCUUGCCCUGUAUUAGCAGACAUUAAAGAUGCUGCUAGGAAGGCCUUGUUUUCAGUAGAGCCAGCUAGCGCACAUGUAAAUUCUUAUCCGCUGAUUAAACAAGGUGAAGCAGAAUCCUAUGGUUUGUUUUUGGAUAGAUUAACUCAAGCAGUUGAAAGGCAAUAUCCAGAUGAACAGGCCUGUUCCUAUAUUGUUCAAAACCUUGCUUUUGUAAAUGCUAAUGAUGAAUGAAGAAAAAUUAUUUUAACUUUGCCUGAUCAGCCUCCAGCUGUCACGCAAAUGCUAACAGCUUGCAGCAGACUUAUGGGUCCACAAAAUCUUGCAAAUUUACAGGUCAAUGCUUUAGGAAAAACAUUGGAAGAUAAUUUGACACAAUGAAUGGAUAAAAUUGAAAAGCUUUUAGAGAAACAAGGAAAAAAUUGGGAAAAUUCUGUUAGCACUGUGCAGUUGGACUCUGACAAAAGGCCUCAUUGCUUUGCUUGUUGUAAACCUGGUCAUAUUAAAAAAGGAUUGUCAUGUGUAAACAUUCCAACCAAAACAACUUUCUACCUUCCUAAGAUAUGGUUGUCAUGUUGUAUGUGAUUUGCUAAUAUCUUUUUGUACAAGUUUUGUCAUCAAUUCACAGAAGUUUUCAAGAUCCAAGAUUCUACACUGCAUGGAUGAUUUGCUCAUCGCAGCUUCAACCCAAACAGAGAUGCAGCGAACCCGUGCUAGUGUUGGGACUGAAAUCCAGAGUGCUGGACUUGGCAUUUCUAUGACAAAAAUCCAAGGCUACAACAAAAAUCCAAGGCUGCAAUAUCAACUCUUCAAAGACGACAAGCUCAUUGCUGCAUUCUGGACACAUCUUUCUUUUUUGCAGUUUUAGGAGAGAAGAUGCAACUUUGUGGUCUCAUUUUUCAGUGGGACCCUUCUGAGGGCUCAUUCGUCGCUUCCUGGAUGUUUAGUGGAAGGAAACGCAAGAGCGGCCAAACUAACAAUGGUUAUUUCAAACACUUCACCAAACAUUUUGAACAAGCAAAAUUCAGUCAUGCUUUUUUCCACCAAAACACACAAACACUUGCGCGAAUGUUUCAAAUCUCUGAAAGUCAAGCUAAAGCUAUCAUCAGUACCUGCCCUGACUGUCAGCUUGUGCAAUCUCCUGUUUCUUCAGGAGCUGUCAACCCCCGAGGUGCUGGAAUUAAAUGGGUCCCUGCCAAAAACAUCAAACCAUAUCACAUCCCAGUACAUGUUGACGAGUCCAGAGCCAAGGAAGCAAGUACACAGAUGUGAGCCGAGCAGAGGGAUCCCAGCUUGCCUGACGUUCCUUGUGCCUGACGUUCUUUUUGUAUCGGUGGAACCUGCAAACUCUGAUUUUGUGUUAAUGUUAUUUAUGAGUGUGUCCAUGUAUGUUAAAUGUUUGUUUAACAGAGCUGAGUUUUGGCAAAAGUUUAGGUUUUUGUUUUUGUGGAGAACAAAAUUUAAAAAUUGAUAUAUAUGUAAGGAUUCUGCCAAAACUUAGCUAAUGAAAAUGAUGGAGCGAUUGCAAGUUGUAUGUUGGUAUUGGUGGAUUUUAAUUGUUUUUUGUCGUGCAGAUUUGCCUGUGGAACUACCAAAAACAAAUGUUUGGGUGACCUUAGCCAAGGCAGCUGGCUCGGAUACUAUAUGUUUGUCUAAUUCAGAACCAGAAAAACCUUUUUCAACCUGUCUGGUUGGUGUGCCAGUAAAAGAGUCGCCUUUGGUCAAAAAACAAUCCAAUGAUAAGCCAGGUGAAAUUGACAAUGGAAACAAUCCCUCAUUGAAUUGGAACGUUUGGUCCAAAAAUCUUCCCAGGGCAGCAUCUGAACCCCAAGAAUUAGAAAUCCUUGGCUCUUUAACAAUGGAUUUUUGCUUUACCUUCAUAGCUAGUGCUUGGCAAAAAGGUGAUCCUCCAAAGUACAAUGUUACUACUCAUUAUUUUGCAUACAGAAAUUUGAGGUUUUGGUGUAAUGUUUCAAACAGUUGGGAUGUGCUUCCUGAGACGGAUCAAUAUCCACGCCAAUUGCCGAAGGGGUAUUGGUUCAUUUGUGGAGACAGAGCCUGGUAAGGCAUUCCAGCACACCUUGAAGGUGGCCCUUGUAGCAUUGGGAUGCUCACUAUAAUUGCCCCCACUGCCAAGGCGGUCAUGAAAAAUAAACAAAGGAGAACGAGAGCUGUUUCUCAUUAUGAGGAGAACUGUCAGAGUGAUUUCAGGCCUUGGAAAGCUGCCAGAAGGGUUUCAGCAGGUAUAUUUUUACCCCAAUUGGCUUCAGCAGUGGCACUGAAACAGAUAGAGCUGGAUGCUAGCUGAGCAAACAAGCUAAUGCCACAUCCUCUGCAAUCAGUGAUAUGUUAACCAACAUUUACAGUGUUAGACAUGCUACCCUUCAAAAUAGAGCAGCAAUUGAUUUUCUUUUACUGGCACAAGGGCAUGGUUGUGAGGAAUUCAAAGGACUGUGCUGUAUGAAUUUGUCCAAUCAUUCUGAAUCCAUUCACAAAAGCAUACAAAAACUGAAGAUUUGACAGCUCAAAUUAAAGAAGAUGGUGGUUCCUGGCUGGAUGAUUUGUUUCAAGAAUGGAGCUUUGCACCUUGGCUAAGGCAACUUUGCAAGAUAGGUCUUUAUGUAUUGGGUGUUCUGGUAGUGAUAUUGAUAGUAAUGCCCUGCAUACUUCAGUGUGUGCAGCAAAUGAUGAAUAAAAUGGUCCAAGAAGUUUUUGUCAUACAAGAGAGAGAAUUAGGAAGUAGAAGCACAGAGAGUGUUUGAAAUCUCACGGAAAUGCUAGGCGACAGUGCAGAAAUGGAGGAGGGUUUUGAAUUAAGACCCUGGAAUUGACAAGAGUUUUUUGAACAAUGACUUGUAACUAUUGUCAGACGUGAUUCAUAUCUCUUUCACUGACUGGGCCUUCACAGAAUCAAGUUGCUGUG